rnacentral:rRNA from 1 species
AGUCGAGUGCGCGUUUCGUAGCAAUACGAGAUGGCGCACGGCGCACGGGUGCGUAACACGUGGGUGACCUGCCCUUUGGUGGGGAAUAACUCCGCGAAAGCGGAGCUAAUUCCGCAUAAGAUCCGCAAGGAUGAAAGCCGCAAGGCGCCGAUGGAGGGGCCCGCGCACGAUUAGCUAGUUGGUAGGGUAACGGCCUACCAAGGCUUUGAUCGUUAGCUGGUCUGAGAGGGUGGCCAGCCACACUGGAACUGAGACACGGUCCAGACUCCUACGGGAGGCAGCAGUGGGGAAUCUUGCACAAUGGGCGAAAGCCUGAUGCAGCGACGCCGCGUGGGGGAUGAAGCAUUUCGGUGUGUAAACCCCUUUCGAUCCGGACGAAUGCCCGCAAGGGAUUGACGGUACGGAUAUAAGAAGCCCCGGCUAACUACGUGCCAGCAGCCGCGGUAAGACGUAGGGGGCCAGCGUUGUUCGGAAUUACUGGGUGUAAAGGGUUCGUAGGCGGUGCGGCAAGUUGGGAGUGAAAUCUCUGGGCUCAACCCAGAGGCUGCUUCCAAAACUGCUGUGCUUGAGUGUGGGAGAGGCGCGUGGAAUUGCAGGUGUAGCGGUGAAAUGCGUAGAUAUCUGCAGGAACACCCGUGGCGAAAGCGGCGCGCUGGACCACUACUGACGCUGAGGAACGAAAGCUAGGGGAGCAAACAGGAUUAGAUACCCUGGUAGUCCUAGCCCUAAACGAUCAGGACUUGGGGUGCCACCCGUUCGGGUGUCGUCCCGGAGCUAACGCGUUAAGUCCUGCACCUGGGGAGUACGGUCGCAAGACUGAAACUCAAAGGAAUUGACGGGGGCCCGCACAAGCGGUGGAAC